GGGGAUGUAAAGGUUUCGACAGGUUUCAGUUUGAUUCAAGUUGCAGUGGAGUUGUGACCAUAUCACAAACAAAUUUAAACGCUAACACAAACAGAAGCGCAAGCUUCGCAUUCGCUGCCUAAGGAACUAGACGUUCUGCAGCGACCCGGUCUGUAAAUUAGUCGUUUGGUACAGACUGCGUAAAUAAACGGAUAAGGUGAACUCAAAGCCUGUAGAGGGAUCCCGACAAUGUACAGGCAAAUUUAGCAGAUGGUUCGCUCAUUGUCAUGUCUGCUAUCUUAUCGAACAGUGAGAUAAACUGUAGACGCUUGAAUGUGGGGCUACUCUUGGACAGGGGUUCGACUCCCCUCAUCUCCAUCA
rnacentral:tmRNA from 1 species